CAGUAGCCACGGGAAUACGUAGGGUGCAAGCGUUAUCCGGAAUUAUUGGGCGUAAAGAGCUCGUAGGCGGUUUGUCGCGUCUGCUGUGAAAACUGGAGGCUCAACCUCCAGCCUGCAGUGGGUACGGGCAGACUAGAGUGCGGUAGGGGAGGUUGGAAUUCCUCGUGUAGCGGUGGAAUGCGCAGAUAUCAGGAGGAACACCGAUGGCGAAGGCAGAUCUCUGGGCCGUAACUGACGCUGAGGAGCGAAAGCAUGGGGAGCGAACAGGAUUAGAUACCCGUGUAGUCCCUGUCUCUUAUAC
rnacentral:rRNA from 1 species